CCUACGGGAGGCAGCAGUAGGGAAUCUUCCACAAUGGGCGAAAGCCUGAUGGAGCAACGCCGCGUGGGUGAAGAAGGUCUUCGGAUCGUAAAACCCUGUUGUUAGAGAAGAAAGUGCGUGAGAGUAACUGUUCACGUUUCUACGGUAUCUAACCAGAAAGCCACGGCUAACUUCGUUCCAUCCGCCGCGGUUAUACGGUGGGGGCAAGCGUUUUCCGGAUUUUUUGGGCGGAAAGGGCACGCCGGGGGUCUUUUAAGUCUGAUGUGAAAGGCUUCGGGUUAAACGAAGUAGUGCAUUGGAAACUGGGAGACUUGAGUGCAGAAGAGGAGAGUGGAACUCCAUGUGUAGCGGUGAAAUGCGUAGAUAUAUGGAAGAACACCAGUGGCGAAAGCGGCUCUCUGGUCUGUAACUGACGCUGAGGUUCGAAAGCGUGGGUAGCAAACAGGAUUAGAUACCCCUGUAGUC
rnacentral:rRNA from 1 species